rnacentral:rRNA from 1 species
GAUGAACGCUAGCUACAGGCUUAACACAUGCAAGUCGAGGGGUAACGAGAGGAAAGCUUGCUUUCCUUGUCGACGACCGGCGCACGGGUGAGUAACGCGUAUCCAACCUGCCCCCAACUAAGGAAUAACCUUGCGAAAGUAAGACUAAUACCUUCUAAUUUCCACAGAUGACAUCAGACGAGGAAUAAAGAUUUAUCGGUUGUGGAUGGGGAUGCGUCGGAUUAGCUUGGUGGCGGGGUAACGGCCCACCAAGGCAACGAUCAGUAGGGGUUCUGAGAGGAAGGUCCCCCACAUUGGAACUGAGACACGGUCCAAGCUCCUACGGGAGGCAGCAGUGAGGAAUAUUGGUCAAUGGGCGGAAGCCUGAACCAGCCAAGUAGCGUGCAGGAUGACGGCCCUAUGGGUUGUAAACUGCUUUUAUACAGGAAUAAAGUUAGCCACGUGUGGUUAUUUGUAGGUACUGUAUGAAUAAGGACCGGCUAAUUCCGUGCCAGCAGCCGCCGUAACAC